ACAGGAUAAAACAGUACGGAUACAGUUAACGUGGACAUGCUGUUCGAGCCACUUAAUGUCAGUUCCUUCCUUACGAUCCACCUUUGGUCCUGAAACAAUAAUGUAGCAUAGCGAGUCCAAGCAUAUCGGUGUCUGCCAUUUUUGAUAUACUCCAGGAACAAAUGACAAAACUGAGAGACACUUGGGUGUAAUCUUGUACUAGAAAUUGUGCUCUUGCUUCCCAACGAGGAGAAGUACUGCCGCGAAUAUACAUACAAUAGGGAUUGCAUUGGUUCGCAUCAUUGUUGAGAUCCUCGGCAGAGUGGAUGUAAACGACGAGAACUCCUGUAAGGAAGUUUAUGCAAAUGAAGCUCGACAUUAGCGGUUACUACGUCACAUGCAAAGCGAAAAAACGAAUCGCUCGCUCGAUAUUCCCCGACAUUCUCCAAACUGACGAUGCAUCAAGUCGUGUAAAGGGUGCGUCAAAAACGAAUCUAUGUAGCCGUGUGCCUGCGGAUAACGCAUACUAUUCAUAACUCCACUCUGUUCGUAUAGUUUUACCUGCUCUACAUUUUCCGUAUGAAACUUUUCGCACUGCUGAAAAUAUUAAAAUUCAAUGAUGCCAAGCACUCGGCGCAAGUAUCCUAAGCCGGAGCCGAAG